rnacentral:rRNA from 1 species
UUGCAGUUAAAAAGCUCGUAGUUGGAUUUCUGCGGGGGCGGGGCGGCCGGUUGCUUAUAGCAACUCGAGCUAGCACUUCCCCCGCAUCCUGCCGCGAACCGUGCUACCAUUAGUUUGGUGGCGCCGGGGAUCGGCUCGUUUACUUUGAGAAAAAUAGAGUGUUCAAAGCAGGCCACACGCCUUGAAUAAGUUAGCAUGGAAUAAUGAUAAAGGACUUCGGUUCUAUUUUGUUGGUGUUCGGGACUGAAGUAAUGAUUGAUAGGGACAGUUGGGGCGGUCCGUAUUCCAAAGCGAGAGGUGAAAUUCUUAGACCUUCGGAAGACGAACAGCUGCGAAAGCGUUCCGCAAGGAUGUUCCCUUUGAUCAAGAACGAAAGUUGGGGGAUCGAAGACGAUCAGAUACCGUCGUAGUCUCAACUAUAAACUAUACCAGCUAGGGAUCGGCCAACGUUUAAAUUACACCGACUUGGUCGGCCCCUUAUGA